CACUGACAUUAGAUACCCCUGUAGUCCCAGCCGUAAACUAUGCGCGUUAGGUGUAUCGGUGACCACGAGUUACCGAGGUGCCGAAGGGAAACCGUGAAACGUGCCGCCUGGGAAGUACGGUCGCAAGGCUGAAACUUAAAGGAAUUGGCGGGGAGCACCACAACGGGUGGAGCCUGCGGUUUAACUGGACUCAACGCCGGGAAGCUCACCGGAUAAGACAGCGGAAUGAUUGCCGGGCUGAAGACUCUGCAUGACUAGCUG
rnacentral:rRNA from 1 species